CUCUCAGUAUGAGCCAAGUGUCUGAUAAUUAUAACCAUGUGUAAUUGAUAAGUUCCCUGCUAGUUGAACUCCAGAUCACAAUACAAAGGAACUCAAAAUGAUAAUGAUGAUGAUAAUAAUAAAGAACGUUUCCUUGAUAAUAAACUGAAUGAAUGCAAUCAAGAAUAAAUGCAGAAUGCUUAAAGGAAAUGAAAGAGAAAACAAAGGGUAAACGGACUUUUGAGAGGUCCAAACUCUCUUGCUAUAGAUUUCCACUUUCUUCCUAGCCGUCUCCCAAUUUCUUCCCACUUAUAUACUUGAAACUCCAUAACAGCUUACCCAACUGAAUUUGUUGUGCCCAUGUGCAUGGAACUUCCUUUUCUUCUGGUCUCCCUUUUCUACCCCUAACUUCUUCUCCCGCUGGGAAUGCUGAAUUUGAAUCGAUGGCUUAUCAUUACUCCGCCCCGUGAGACUCACCUUGUCCUCAAGGUGGAAGUCUAGGAACUGAUUCCUCAACAUUUGAAAUGGUUCCCAUGUGGCUUCUAAGGACGGUAACCCUUUCCAUUGCACCAAAAGUUCAAGACUCCUGAUGUUAUUUCCUCUCCCUGAUCGGACUCGCAACACUGCUUCCGAUUCUACCAACAUCUCCAUUUCUUCAUUCAUGUGGCUCGGGAUAUUCAUCACCGUGUGUAGUUGUGACACAUGAAAGAUAGGAUGAAUGUGACAAGUUGAUGGAAGUGUCACUUUGUAAGCUACCACUCCAAUUUUCUUCUCCACUGGAAACGGCCCAUAGAAUUUUGGGGCCAACUUCUUGUUAGGCCUUAACGAUAAUGACUUGCUUCAGUGAGGACGUAGCUUCAGAUAAACCCAGUCUCCUACAUUGAACUGAAUAUCCCUUCUCUUCGCAUCCGCUAUUCGCUUUAUGUGAGCUUGAGCCAGCAUUAAUUGAUGUUUCAACUCUUCCAGCAUCUGAUCCCUUUCCAGCAACUGCCUUUCUACCACAAAGAAAGGAGUAGAUCCCUUUCCAAACCUUAAUAAUAAAAGGGGUUCCCUCCCAUACAAGCAUUGGAAUGGUGUCAACUUGGAAGCAGUGUGAUAGGAAGUAUUAUACCAUUAUUCGGCCCAUGGAAGCCAGCAUGCCCAAGAUUUCGGCUUAGAGGAAGUGAAACAGCGGAGAUAUGUCUCCAAUGUGCGGUUUACUACUUCAGAUUGUCCAUCGGAUUGCGGGUGAUAAACGAUGCUAUGGAAAAGUUUCAUACCUUGUAGUUUAAACAACUCUUCCCAAAAUCCACUCAUAAAAUUUUUAUCCCGAUCCGAUACAAUUGAACGCGAUAUUCUAUGGAGGCGUACAAUCUCCUUCAUGAAAACCCCAGCCACCUUGAUCGCUGAAAAUGGGUGUUUCAAGGAUACAAAGUGGGCCUACUUACUUAGCCUAUCCACCACCACUAAAAUGGUAUCCCAGCCACUCGACUUUGGCAAGCCUUCUACAAAAUCCAUAGCUAUGUCUUCCCACACCUGAUUAGGAACUGUUAGGCGCUAUAACAACCCUCCUGGGGAUAAGGCUAUGUACUUAUUCUGUUGGCACACAAUGCAAUCCUUGACAUAUUGACGAAUGCCCUUCUUCAUUCCAGCCCAAUAAACAUUCACAGCAACCCUCUUAUAUGUUAUCAAGAAUCCCAAGUGCUCCCUCCCAAGCAACCAUCAUGCCCUUCUUGCAUUAUCAAUGGAAUCAAGGUUGAUCCUUUGGGAAAAACCAACCUGCCUUUGUAGAGUAACUGCCCUUCUUUCACAAAAUAGGCCGGCCACAAGGAAGGGUCUGUUCUUAAUUUGGCCACAAUUUUUCGUAACCUAUCGCCCACCUCUACUUUCCUAUUCUGCUGCUCCAACUGGACAAUUGCUGAUAGAGAUAGGGCCAUCAAUGAUGGCAGGUGGUUAACAUGCGAGAAAGCGUCAGCUGCUUUGUUCUCAAGCCCCGACUUGUACUAAAUUUCAAACUGAUACCCCAUAAGUUUCAUCAACCGCCUGUGAUAUUCAGGAGUGAUCACCCUCUGUUCCAACAAAAAUUUCAAAUUUUUUUUAUCUAUCCGAAUUAUAAAGUGAUGACCCAGCAAAUAAUGGCGCCACUUUUGUACUCUGAAGACUAUUGCCAUUAAUUCUCUUUCAUACACUGACUUUUCUCGGCCCUUCUGAUUAAGUGCUUGACUGAAGAAAGCAAUGGGUUUGUGUUCUUGCAUUAACAUCGCCCCUAACCCGUAUCCUGAAGCAUCCGUCUCAACCACAAACAUUUUUUGUAAAAGUUGGCAACCCAAGGAUCGGUAAAGACAUCAUUCUCCCUUUUAAUUCCUGGAAAGCCCGCUCUGCCACUUCAUCCCAGUGGAAGUUGUUCUUCUUUAAUCUUUCAGCUAGCGGCCAUGCAAUUUUCCCAUAGUCCUUCACAAACCUCAUGCAGUGCCCUGUCAACCCAAGAAACCUACAUAGCUCAUACAGGGAGCUAGACUUGGCCACUCUACCAUUGCCCUGACCUUUGCCCUAUCAGCAGUCACGUCUUUCUGUGUCAUGACAUGACCCAAGUACUCUACUUCCUGUUGGCCAAAUACACAUUUCUUCCCAUUCAAAUGUAGUUGAUUCCUUUUAAGUACCUCCAGUACCCACCUCAAGUGCCCAUGGUGUCGUUCCAAAUCCUGACUAUAUACUAAGAUAUCAUCAAAAAAAGCUAGGAUAGAUUGUCUCAACCUUUCCUUGAAUAUUUCAUUCAUCAAUACUUGAAAAGUCUCCGGUGCAUUGGUCAACCUGAAAGGCAUAACCAAGAACUCGUAAUGCCCUUCAUAAGUUCUAAAAGCCAUUUUAGGAAUAUCUUGAGGAAAUAUCCUAAUUUGAUGAUACCCUGCCUUCAAGUCCAACUUUUAAAAGAUUGAGGCUCCAUACAAUUCGUCCAAAAGUUCUUUGAUGACCGAAAUUGGAAAUUUAUCCUUCACCAUCGCCUUAUUCAAUGCCCUAUAAUCCAUACAAAAACCCUAGCCCCCGUCUUUCUUUUUUACUAGUAAAAUCAGGCUGGAGAAUAGACUUGUGCUUGGUCUAAUUAUACCUCCCUCUAACAUCUUCUGAACCAAUUUCUCACUCUCAUUUCUUUUACUAUAAAGAUAACGAUAUGGCCAAAUACCUAUUGGGACAGUUUCUGCUUACAGAACUAAGGAGUGGUCCAUCUCCCAAUGGGGUGGUAACCUACCUGGCUCCUAUAAAAUGCCUUCAAAUUCUAUCAACACUUGGUCCAGCUCUUUUGGUACUUCUGGCCUUGGAGUGUCUGCCUCGAUGGACAGAUUAUCCAACUCUAAUAAAAUCUCUUCUCCCCUUUCCUGGAAAGCCUUCAUCAUAGACUUUAGACUCACUAGUAACUUACUAAGGCUAGGGGCCCCCUGUAGCAUAACAUUAGUGUCCCCUAUCUGGAAAUGCAUCGUUAACGAUUUCCAAUCCAUCGACAUUUUUCCAAGUGAUGACAACCACUUUAUGCCUAGGAUAACAUCUGAACUUCCAAGUCCAAGGGUAGGAAAUCCUCAGUUAUUUGCAAAUUCUACAGAGCCAGAUUAACCUCCUUACAGAUACUGCCCUUUGCACCGUGAAUCCUAUUCUCAUUAUCACUCUAUACCAGGUUGUUUCAGUCCUAGGUAAUCCCAGUCUCUGAACCAGCUUCGCCGAGAUGAAGUUAUGAGUAACUCCACAAUAUAUCAACACCACCACUUCUUAUUUUCCAAUUAGACCCUUAACCUUCAUUGUUUGAAGAGACGUCAACCCUACCACCAAAUUAAUUGAGAGUUUCACUGCUUCACCCACUUCAUUCACCUCGGACUCUUGAAACUCUUUAUCCGCCUCCUCUAUCUCUUCCUGUACUUCCUCGCCCAGCAGUACCAUAACCUGCAGUUCCUUGUUCUAGCACCUAUGUCCAAUAGAAUACUUUUCAUCGUACUUAAAACAAAGCCCCUUCUCUUUUUUCGCCUAGAAUUUUGCCUCACUUAACCUCUUGUAGGUCAAACCAGUGGCUUUUCCAGAUACGGCCAUCUACACCACCAUCGUCGAUGACGGACGAUGGUAGUUCUGGGUCGAGUGAUUUGGGGAUAAACUUUGGGAAGAUCUCGAAGGAUAUAAAC
rnacentral:lncRNA from 1 species